rnacentral:misc_RNA from 1 species
UCUCCGUUGGUGAACCAGCGGAGGGAUCAAUACCGAGUUUACAACUCCCAAACCCCAUGUGAACCUUACCAAACGUUGCUUCGGCGGGAUGCCCCGGGCGCGGGCCGCAAGGCCUCAGCCCCGGAACCAGGCGCCCGCCGGAGGCCCAAACCAAACUCUUGUUUUUGUAGAAUCUUCUGAGUGGCCUUUUAGGCAAAAAAUGAAUCAAAACUUUCAACAACGGAUCUCUUGGUUCUG